GACCAGGUAGCUCAGUGGUAGAGUGUCCGUCUAGAGUUUGGAGGGUCCCGGGUUCGAACCCCGGUCUGGCUG